rnacentral:rRNA from 1 species
GAUGAACGCUGUCGGCGUGCCUAAUACAUGCAAGUCGAGCGAACAGAUAAGGAGCUUGCUCCUUUGACGUUAGCGGCGGACGGGUGAGUAACACGUGGGUAACCUACCUAUAAGACUGGGAUAACUUCGGGAAACCGGAGCUAAUACCGGAUAAUAUUUCGAACCGCAUGGUUCGAUAGUGAAAGAUGGUUUUGCUAUCACUUAUAGAUGGACCCGCGCCGUAUUAGCUAGUUGGUAAGGUAACGGCUUACCAAGGCGACGAUACGUAGCCGACCUGAGAGGGUGAUCGGCCACACUGGAACUGAGACACGGUCCAGACUCCUACGGGAGGCAGCAGUAGGGAAUCUUCCGCAAUGGGCGAAAGCCUGACGGAGCAACGCCGCGUGAGUGAUGAAGGUCUUCGGAUCGUAAAACUCUGUUAUUAGGGAAGAACAUACGUGUAAGUAACUGUGCACGUCUUGACGGUACCUAAUCAGAAAGCCACGGCUAACUACGUGCCAGCAGCCGCGGUAAUACGUAGGUGGCAAGCGUUAUCCGGAAUUAUUGGGCGUAAAGCGCGCGUAGGCGGUUUUUUAAGUCUGAUGUGAAAGCCCACGGCUCAACCGUGGAGGGUCAUUGGAAACUGGAAAACUUGAGUGCAGAAGAGGAAAGUGGAAUUCCAUGUGUAGCGGUGAAAUGCGCAGAGAUAUGGAGGAACACCAGUGGCGAAGGCGACUUUCUGGUCUGCAACUGACGCUGAUGUGCGAAAGCGUGGGGAUCAAACAGGAUUAGAUACCCUGGUAGUCCACGCCGUAAACGAUGAGUGCUAAGUGUUAAGGGGUUUCCGCCCCUUAGUGCUGCAGCUAACGCAUUAAGCACUCCGCCUGGGGAGUACGACCGCAAGGUUGAAACUCAAAGGAAUUGACGGGGACCCGCACAAGCGGUGGAGCAUGUGGUUUAAUUCGAAGCAACGCGAAGAACCUUACCAAAUCUUGACAUCCUUUGACAACUCUAGAGAUAGAGCUUUCCCCUUCGGGGGACAAAGUGACAGGUGGUGCAUGGUUGUCGUCAGCUCGUGUCGUGAGAUGUCGGGUUAAGUCCCGCAACGAGCGCAACCCUUAAGCUUAGUUGCCAUCAUUAAGUUGGGCACUCUAAGUUGACUGCCGGUGACAAACCGGAGGAAGGUGGGGAUGACGUCAAAUCAUCAUGCCCCUUAUGAUUUGGGCUACACACGUGCUACAAUGGACAAUACAAAGGGCAGCGAAACCGCGAGGUCAAGCAAAUCACAUAAAGUUGUUCUCAGUUCGGAUUGUAGUCUGCAACUCGACUACAUGAAGCUGGAAUCGCUAGUAAUCGUAGAUCAGCAUGCUACGGUGAAUACGUUCCCGGGUCU